rnacentral:lncRNA from 1 species
AUGACAAGUGGGAGCUAUCACAGACCCGCACAUCAAGCGCUAAGGAGCCGUUUUCCUCCAGACAUCAAAGAAGAGCAACCACUCAGGAUGAUCCAAACCUGCAGUUCCUCAGAAAAGGAUCUGUCACCAUCUCUUGUCACUUUGAUGUUAAUAAUUAUCGGCACGGAAUGCAUCCUUGGUAUUCUCGCAAAUGGGUUCAUUGCAGCGAUAAACACAGCUGAAUGGAUUCACAAUAAGGUACUCUCCACCAGUGGCAAGAUCUUGCUUUUCCUGGGUGUAUCCAGAAUAGUUCUACAAAGCUUCAUGAUGCUAGAACUUACCUUAAGCUCAACAUCCCCACAGUUUUAUAAUGACGACAUCACGUAUCACACAUUCAGAGGAUGUUUCAUGUUCUUAAAUCACUGCAGCCUCUGGUUUGCUGCCUGGCUCAGUGUCUUCUACUUCGUGAAGGUGGCGGAUUUCUCCUACCCCCUUUUCCUCAAGCUGAAGUGGAGAAUUUCCAGACUGAUGCCCUGGCUUCUGCAGCUUUCAGUGUUUGUUUCCUUGGGCCAGAGUGUGCUCUUCUUCCAAAACAUCUAUACUAUGAAUUGUAACAAUCUUUUUUCUCUCCCCUCCUUCAACUCCACUAAGAAAAAGUCCUUCUCGGAGGCCACUGUGAUCAACCUGGUUCUUUUCCUUAACCUGGGGAUCUUCAUCCCUCUGAUCAUGUUUAUCCUGGCAGCCACCCUGCUGAUCAUCUCUCUCAAAAGACACAUCUUCCACAUGAAAAGCAAUGCCACUGGCUCCAGAGAUCCCAGCACGGAGGCUCACCUGGGGGCCAUCAGAGCUAUCAGCUACUUUCUCAUUCUCUAUAUUUUCCAAGUACUUGCUCUUUUUCUCUACAUGUCCAACUUCUUUGACAUCAAUAGUCCCUUGAAUAUUUUGUGCAAAAUCAUCAUGGCUACCUACCCUGUGGCCCAUUCCAUUCUACUGAUUCAGGACAACCCUGGGCUGAAAAGAGCCUGGAAGAGGCUUCAGGCUCAAGUCCACCUUUAUUUUAAAAAGUAG